GACGAACGCUGGCGGCGUGCUUAACACAUGCAAGUCGAACGGAAAGGCCCUGCUUUUGUUGGGUGCUCGAGUGUCGAACGGGUGAGUAACACGUGAGUAACCUGCCCCUGACUUUGGGAUAUUUUCAUGAAACUGGGGCUAAUACUGGCUAGCAGCUUCUUCUUCAUGGUGGUUGUUGGUAACUUUAGGUGGUUGGGGAUGGACUCGCGCCUUAUCAUCUUGUUGGUGGGGUAGUGGCUUACCAAGGCAUUGACGGGUAGCCGGCAUGACAGGGUGACCGGGUAGAUAGGGACAGAGAUACGGCCCAGACUCAUAUGGGAGGCAGCAGUAGGGAAUAUAGCACUAUGGGCGGAAGGAUGAUGCAGAAACGCCGCGUGCGGGAUGACGGAAUUCGGGUUGAAAACCGCUUUAGCAUCUGACGAAGCGUGAGUGACGGUAAUGGGUAAAGAAGCACCGGCUAAAUAAGUG
rnacentral:rRNA from 1 species